rnacentral:rRNA from 1 species
AUGCAGGCGCAGAUCAAGCGGGUGCUGCCGCUCUCCAGGGCCCUCGCCGCCGCGCACCGGCAAGUGCAGUUAUACUUCUCUCGGGCUGACAAAUUUCAAUGCAGGCAGGGGUCUGGAAGUGCAUGCCGCAGUAUAUACGGUGGAUUUGUGAAAUGGUGUAUGGGAAAAAAUGAUGAUGGAAGUGACAGUAUGGCAGUACAGCUUGUUGACGAAUCGCAUUGGGAUGAUCUUGUUAUAAUCAUAGCAGUGGUCAGUUCAAAGCAGAAGGAAACCAGUAGCACCAGUGGGAUGCGGGACACUAUUGAAACAAGCCCCCUCUUGCAGUACAGGGCCCAGACUGUAGUGCCAAGUCGCAUAUUGAAAAUGGAGGAGGCCAUCAAGAAUUGUGAUUCUGAAUCCUUUGCUAGGUUAACUUGUGCAGAUAGCAACCAGUUUCAUGUUGUAUGUUUGGACACGAGUCCUCCCAUGUUCUACAUGAAUGAUACGCCACACAGGCCUAAGCUUAAAGAACAAGUGAGGUAUUGUGACCAACACCCUGAGGAGAUUGACACACUUGUAGAAGUGAAGGCUCAGUUUUCAGAGGCGAAGAAAUGCCACAAAACUUCAAGAAGGAUGGUGGCGUUGUCUAACGCCGUGGUGGCAUUGACGAUAGGCCUGGCAAGGUGGAUGCGUCAGUACCUGCUCUGGAGAUGGAUCGACAUCGACAGAAGACGGCGGCGGCUGCAAGCUGAGAUCGUUAAUACGGAUGUUAAUUAUGUCGAGAUUGCUUGCAGGUCAGCGGCGUCAGGUCUGGAGAUGCGGAUGCCCCUACAUAGCGUGGCGCCAGUGGCACGUCGGGGAUCCUUCAUCACCCAAGGAACAAACGCAAUCGGCACUACUACAUUACUGCAGUCUGCACAUGCUGUGUUGAGGGGAUUGGAGGAAUUGGUAGCACGCCAUAAAAUUUUGCUUACCUUCUCUAAAAUCAUGCUUGUUUCAUUCAUUGCUUCACAUCACCAAGUUAUUGGUGCGAUUGAGGUCACACUACCAUAUUAUAUAUUGGAAAUAUUCAAUAACAUAGGAUUUCUUUUUUACUUUAUACUUACACAGAUGUGCAAGAGAAAAGAUUUUAUAGGGGUAGAGAGUUUGUGCGAAAGUGCAGGGGUGCCGGUGCGAACCAAGUUAUAUAAGAUGGUAGAGCAUUAUAGACAGAACAACAGUAGUUCUUACAAAAGUGAAAGAGAACAACAAAGAGGUACUUCAAAGUUUGCCAUGGUUCUGAUGUGGUCUUCCACCGGGACUCAAAUUGCAACUCAUGAGAUUGGGAGAUAUUGGGAACCGCUUGUAUGUGUAUUGGUCAUCACGACCUUCUCCAUUGCCCUUGUUGCCUACUUGAUGUGA